rnacentral:rRNA from 1 species
WWUCGGMUUAKAGUUUGAUCCUGGCUCAGGACGAACGCUGSCGGMGUGCCUAAUACAUGCAAGUCGAACGGUCUUUUCUAUGGAAGCUUGCUUCCACUGAGAAGAUAGUGGCGAACGGGUGAGUAACACGUGGGUAACCUGCCCAUAAGAGGGGGAUAACAUCCGGAAACGGGUGCUAAUACCGCAUAGUUUUCUUGAUCGCAUGAUCGAGAAAGGAAAGACGGCCUUUGUGCUGUCGCUUAUGGAUGGACCCGCGGCGUAUUAGUUAGUUGGUGAGGUAAUGGCUCACCAAGACGAUGAUACGUAGCCGACCUGAGAGGGUGAUCGGCCACAUUGGGACUGAGACACGGCCCAAACUCCUACGGGAGGCAGCAGUAGGGAAUCUUCCGCAAUGGACGAAAGUCUGACGGAGCAACGCCGCGUGAGUGAAGAAGGUUUUCGGAUCGUAAAACUCUGUUGUCAGAGAAGAACAAGUCGGAGAGUAACUGCUUCGGCCUUGACGGUAUCUGACCAGAAAGCCACGGCUAACUACGUGCCAGCAGCCGCGGUAAUACGUAGGUGGCAAGCGUUGUCCGGAUUUAUUGGGCGUAAAGCGAGCGCAGGCGGUUCCUUAAGUCUGAUGUGAAAGCCCACGGCUCAACCGUGGAAGGUCAUUGGAAACUGGGGAACUUGAGUGCAGAAGAGGAGAGUGGAAUUCCAUGUGUAGCGGUGAAAUGCGUAGAUAUAUGGAGGAACACCAGUGGCGAAGGCGACUCUCUGGUCUGWACUGACGCUGAGGCUCGAAAGCGUGGGGAGCAAACAGGAUUARAUACCCUGGUAGUCMMCGCCGUAAACGAUGARUGCUAAGUGUUGGAAGGGUUUCCACCCUUCRGKGCUGCARCUAACGCAUUAAGCMCUCCGCCUGGGGAGUACGCCGCAAGGCUGAAACUCAAGAAUUGACGGG